rnacentral:snoRNA from 1 species
CCUGCCCCUAGGGAAAGCAUUGCAGAUGUGGCUGCUGUGUGUUAUGUGCUUCAAUCUGUGGCAAAGAGGAAGAGAGAAACUAUGUCUAAGCUCAGUGUUCUUAUCUGUGAAUAUAUGCAUGCAUACAUAGCAGCUUAACAUU